GUGCCCGAAACUAAUGAGUAAGGAAAAUUACCGGGUCUCGCUAACACUUGACCCACAUUGAGGGGCAUUUGGGCCCCUCAGGGAAUUUUUUGCGGGGUACAGGUUGUCCUCAGGGGCCCACGCCUACUACCGCGAGGCGUCCCGAGUGAAGCGAUCUGCCCU
rnacentral:snRNA from 1 species